UUUGUGUGUAGUUGUGUGUAUGUUUGUGUGUAGUUGUGUGUAGUUGUGUGUAGUUGUGUGUAGUUGUGUGUGUUUGUGUGUAGUUGUGUGUAGUUGUGUGUAGUUGUGUGUAGUUGUGUGUAGUUGUGCGUUCGUUGGGGCGUCUUCCUGCAGCUCACAGGUUCUCGUUGGUUUGUUGGUUUGUGAAAAGCCCUGGUGGAUUUUGAAGGAGACAUUUUGUUGUUGGACGUUUGAAGAGUUGAAGGUUCGAUUCCCGACGUCGCAGGUUCGGGUUUUUGCCAAAACUUCAGCUCAUUUUUGUUUUUUUGUUUUGUUUUUUCUUUAAAUGUAAAAAUAUUAAAUAAAUGUUGCACAAAGAGCUGCUCAAGGACUCGAGGAGAACGUGAAGAGAACGUCAAGAAGAACAGAGUCAAACAGAGUCAGGACGACCAGAGUCACAACGACCAGAGUCACGACGACCAGAGUCAGACUGAGGAGAGAAAGAUUUAAGGAUUUUAAAGAUUUUAAGGAUUUUUGUGUUUCUGUGUUUUUGUUUUUGUGAUGAAAUGUUCUGUGCCUUUAAAUAUCUGAAGAAGAAAAAAUCUAAAACUGAUGUCUACAAAAAAGACCAGGACCAAACCAGGACUAAACCAGGACUAAACCAGGUCUAAUCCAGGUCUAAACCAGGUCUAAACCAGGUCUAAACCAGGUCUAAACCAGGUCUAAACCAGGACUAAACCAGGUCUAAACCAGGUCUAAACCAGGUCUAAACCAGGUCUAAACCAGGUCUAAACCAGGUCUAAACCAGGACUAUGCCAGGUAUGAUCCAGGACCUGUCUUGGUGAGUCUGGGCUGUUGUCGGGUUUCCGGUUUUGGGUUCUGGGUUCUGGUUCUGGUUCUGGUUCUGGUUCUGGUUCUGGAGCGGCUGCUUCACACAAACAGAAUAUUUGUAUAUUUGUCUGAGGUGUUUGACUCAAAUAAAAACUUCUAUUUACAGUCA